rnacentral:rRNA from 1 species
AGUGAACGCUGGCGGUAGGCCUAACACAUGCAAGUCGAACGGCAGCACAGUAAGAGCUUGCUCUUACGGGUGGCGAGUGGCGGACGGGUGAGGAAUACAUCGGAAUCUACUUUUUCGUGGGGGAUAACGUAGGGAAACUUACGCUAAUACCGCAUACGACCUACGGGUGAAAGCAGGGGAUCUUCGGACCUUGCGCGAUUGAAUGAGCCGAUGUCGGAUUAGCUAGUUGGCGGGGUAAAGGCCCACCAAGGCGACGAUCCGUAGCUGGUCUGAGAGGAUGAUCAGCCACACUGGAAGUGAGACACGGUCCAGACUCCUACGGGAGGGAGCAGUGGGGAAUAUUGGGCAAUGGGCGCAAGCCUGAUCCAGCCAUACCGAGUGGGUGAAGAAGGCCUUCGGGUUGUAAAGCCCUUUUGUUGGGAAAGAAAAGCAGCAGGUUAAUACCCCGCUGUUCUGACGGUACCCAAAGAAUAAGCACCGGCUAACUUCGUG